rnacentral:rRNA from 1 species
GACGAACGCUGGCGGCGUGCUUAACACAUGCAAGUCGAACGGAAAGGGCCUGCUUUGGUGGGGCUCUCGAGUGGCGAACGGGUGCGUAACACGGGAGUAACCUGCCCAUGACUUUGUGAUAACUUGAGGAAACUGCGGCUAAUACAGGAUAGGAGCUCCUGCUUCAUGGUGGGGGUUGGAAGGUUUCGGCGGUUGGGGAUGGAAUCGCGGCUUAUCCGCUUGUUGGUGGGGUAGUGGAUUACCAAGGCUUCGACGGGAAGGCGGCCUGAGAGGGUGACCGGCCACCGUGGGACUGAGAUACGGGCCGGAGUACUACGGGAGGCAGCAGUGGGGAAUAUUGCCUAAUGGGCCGAAGCCUGAUGCAGCAAGGCCGCGUGCGGGGUGGCGGCCUUCGGGUUGAAAAGGACUUUCGCCUGUGAGGGAGCAUGUUUGACGGUACCGGGUAAAGAAGCACCGGCUAACUCCGUG